rnacentral:rRNA from 1 species
AGUGAACGCUGGCGGUAGGCCUAACACAUGCCAGUCGAACGGCAGCACAGUAAGAGCUUGCUCUUACGGGUGGCGAGUGGCGGAUGGGUGAGGAAUACAUCGGAAUCUACUUUUUCGUGGGGGAUAACGUAGGGAAACUUACGCUAAUACCGCGUACGACCUACGGGUGAAAGCAGGGGAUCUUCGGACCUUGCGCGAUUGAAUGAGCCGAUGUCGGAUUAGCUAGUUGGCGGGGUAAAGGCCCACCAAGGCGACGAUCCGUAGCUGGUCUGAGAGGAUGAUCAGCCACACUGGAACUGAGACACGGUCCAGACUCCUACGGGAGGCAGCAGUGGGGAAUAUUGGACAAUGGGCGCAAGCCUGAUCCAGCCAUACCGCGUGGGUGAAGAAGGCCUUCGGGUUGUAAAGCCCUUUUGUUGGGAAAGAAAAGCAGCAGGUUAAUACCCCGCUGUUCUGACGGUACCCAAAGAAUAAGCACCGGCUAACUUCGUG